UUUAACUUGGCAGAUAAAUGCUAUUGACUUAGAAUCAAUUAAUAAAAAAUUUUUUAGUUGGUA
rnacentral:tRNA from 1 species